GUUCUUGACCCACUUCAGCAUGUACAUUGUAGAUAUAUUAAGUCUAUUUAAUUAAGGGGGGAAGAUUAGGAGAGCAUUUGUUUCAGUGAACAGAGAGCAUAGAGGUUUCAGAAUAUGAGGACAGAGUUGGUGCUUGAACUUUAAUUGUGUUUGCACACAUUGUGAACAAAAAUGGUAAACGUACUAUUGAACAAAGAUUCAAGGAAUAACAUAGUUUAUCCUGAGUUUUUCCACUGGCAAAUCAGCAGGUAAGAAAUUCUAACAAGAAAGCUGGAGACUUCUUACAUCUGUGCCCUCAUGGAAAGAAAAUAAUACACUGUGUGUAUUGCUUUAAUAGGGGACCCACAGAAUAAGAAGAGAUGAUUCAUUUUCCUACCACAAAGGAUCACAAAUGUAACUUUUAGUGAACAUGUUCGACUAUUUCGUCAAUUUACUGGAAAAAUGAUCUAAUCUUUGUUUAAGCUUAUUUCAAGGGUCAUUGUAAAUAUUAGCUAAUUGUCAUUUUUAUUUUGGUGGGGGAAAUAUUACAUGAAGAUAAAGUAUUUCUAUUGUUCAUUGAAGUAUUUUGCCUGGAAUGGAGAUUUCUGAUGAUUAAUAAUAAUUUUAAAAAAUGUCUUAAGUGAACUUUUAAAUUCAGCUUUUCACAAUUUUCUAAUACAAGGUUAAACUCUAUUAUUCUUUCUUCAGGUGCUUAGAUCUAUAGUUUAACAUAUCUGAAGGUGAAUUUGGCAUAAAAUCAACAUUUUACUAUUGUCAGCUCUGCAGAGUCAAUAUAUCAUAUCCCCAGAAGAGGAGGUGCUUCAAACAUCAGUAAAAAAAACUGACAGAGAAGUGCUAAUUCCAGAAUUGUUCCAGUUGUUACUGACAUGUAGCCCGGAAAGGACUGAGACUGUCAGAUGUCAAGCCAGUUUCCACUAUUGACAAAUGGAAACCUUCACUGUUUGACUUGUAAAGAAGGGCAAACUGAUCAGAACACAAAAGCUGUCAAAAACCUGGAGAAUACGGAAUCAUCUCCCUGAGCAAAAAUUGGUGCUUCUCCGCUUCAAACU
rnacentral:lncRNA from 1 species